AGAUUAAUUUGAUCUGCCUCAGAAAAACAGAGAAAACUAUGGGGGAGAAAUGGAAACUCAAGGUGAGAUUUUCCUACGACAGAAGUGGCUGCUUUGUGGGUGGUAGAGGGCUCCCACCCUGGAAAUGUUCAUGCAGAUGACAUUCUGCCAAAAGAGGGUCCAGCAGGGCCUGAGGGGUUGGAAUAAAUGAAUUUGCAAACUCCUGUUUUUGAAAAUGAAUGACAUCUUUCUUCUAGUUUAUAUCAAUAUUCAGAGUCUUCUGUAUUUCUUGUAGUGUCGGGAGGACGCUGUCCUCAGAAAAUGAUAAAUGUUUGUUAAUUAGUACAAUGGGGAGGUUUUAUAAUUGCAAAAUUAAAUUAGUUUCUGCACAGCUUGGUAACAGCAGUGAGAAUAAUCUUCUAUGGGUGUUGAAAAUCCACAUAUGCUACCCAAAAUUUGGUCUGUCCAUCUGGGGAGUGGGGAAUGAAAAUCCUCAGUUGUAUGUCAUCUUUCAGGUCAUCUUUAGCUUAUCCUCACCCCCAAAUUCACACUCUAGCCUCCUCAUUUCACAAAUGGCCCAACUGGCUCCUUAAUUUUUUGUCCCUAAAAGCACUAGCCCUUGAUGUUCUAUGUCACCGUAGAAAGGGACCUCACCCAUAGAAAGAGUAAUACACUGAUGCUGUGGCUCUGAAAUUAACAGUGGUCUGACUGAUCUUCCUACUUCUAAUUUCCCCUUAUUUCAUCCUCCAUAGUCUUGCCUGAGUAGUUUAGAGGUCCCAUCUCAUCAAAUCACUACCUAGUUUAAAAUCCUUCAGCAUUUCCCCAUCCUCUGCAAAAUAUACAUCUAAAUUACUGUGUCAGAAAACAAACUCUUGUCUUCUGGCCCCUGUGAUUGUUUUCAGGUCAUCCGUAGCUUAUUUUCACUCACAAAUUCACUCUCUAACCUUGUCACUCCCUCAGUGGCCCAAGUUGCUCUUUAUUAUUUGUCCCUAAAAGCACUAGCUUUUGGUGUUUGUGAUUAAGUCUAUUAUAUUACAACUUCAAGCCAUAGAUGGUGUUUCCUGUCCUCUCCCUUUUAAUCAUUUGGGACAAUUCUCUCUUGGUCUUCCCCUGUGUAUAGGCUGGCCCAGUCUAUUCCUCCAACCAUGGGAUAGGCCAUAUUUCUCUUUCAUCUUUGCCCCUUACCACACUGGCUAGUCAGUUUUGCUUUUCCAUUGCUGGGUCUUUGCAAAUGCUGUUUCUUCUACUUGGAUCACUAUUCUUGGCCAACUCGACAGCUUCUCAUUUUUUUUUAUAUUUUGCAAUCUUUUGUGAAUAGCAUACUGUUGGAUUC
rnacentral:lncRNA from 1 species